rnacentral:rRNA from 1 species
UACGUAGGUCCCGAGCGUUGUCCGGAUUUAUUAGGCGUAAAGCGAGCGCAGGUGGUUUAUUAAGUCUGGUGUAAAAGGCAGUGGCUCAACCAUUGUAUGCAUUGGAAACUGGUAGACUUGAGUGCAGGAGAGGAGAGUGGAAUUCCAUGUGUAGCGGUGAAAUGCGUAGAUAUAUGGAGGAACACCGGUGGCGAAAGCGGCUCUCUGGUCUGUAACUGACGCUGAGGUUCGAAAGCGUGGGUAGCAAACAGG